UGGCGGACGGGUGAGUAACGCGUGAGCAACCUGCCCUUCGGAGGGGGAUAGUGUCUGGAAACGGACAGUAAUACCGCAUAACGUAUUUUUACCGCAUGAUAGAAAUACCAAAACUGAGGUGCCGAAGGAUGGGCUCGCGUUGGAUUAGAUAGUUGGUGGGGUAACGGCCUACCAAGUCGACGAUCCAUAGCCGGACUGAGAGGUUGAACGGCCACAUUGGGACUGAGACACGGCCCAAACUCCUACGGGAGGCAGCAG
rnacentral:rRNA from 1 species